rnacentral:rRNA from 1 species
AUGCACGCUGGCGGCGUGCCUAAUACAUGCAAGUCGAGCGAACAGACGAGGAUCUUGCUUCUCUGACGUUAGCGGCGGACGGGUGAGUAACACGUGGAUAACCUACCUAUAAGACUGGGAUAACUUCGGGAAACCGGAGCUAAUACCGGAUAAUAUAUUGAACCGCAUGGUUCAAUAGUGAAAGACGGUUUUGCUGUCACUUAUAGAUGGAUCCGCGCCGCAUUAGCUAGUUGGUAAGGUAACGGCUUACCAAGGCAACGAUGCGUAGCCGACCUGAGAGGGUGAUCGGCCACACUGGAACUGAGACACGGUCCAGACUCCUACGGGAGGCAGCAGUAGGGAAUCUUCCGCAAUGGGCGAAAGCCUGACGGAGCAACGCCGCGUGAGUGAUGAAGGUCUUCGGAUCGUAAAACUCUGUUAUUAGGGAAGAACAAAUGUGUAAGUAACUGUGCACGUCUUGACGGUACCUAAUCAGAAAGCCACGGCUAACUACGUG